CAGCAAUCAGAAGAACAGAUGGCCAUCUUCUGUCAGUACUUGAAGACUGUUUCUAAGAAACAUUAAGCCUCCAUCAGGCUCACUUGUUAAUGCAAAAGUCCUACUCAGGACAGAAGCUGGGACAAUCUUUGAAGUCAUCAGGUAUCUAACUGAAACUUGUGUUCAUAUGAAGAUUUGUCAACCAAUGUUUAUGGUAGCAUUAUGGAUAAUAGUUCAAAAUUGGGAACAACACAAAUGUCCAUCAAAUGGAGUUUUUAGGUUUGGGAGAAGACAAAAAUGCAAUGAAUCAUUACAAGAGCAAUAACUAUUAUAGUACUGAAUGUAUGUACAGAACAUGGGAGAAAGGAGCAAUCAAUUAGAAUUGCCUGAUACAUAGAAGAUUACAGAGAAAUGGCAUUUGUACCAGCUAAUGGAGGGUAUUGAGUUUGAGCAAAUGGAAUGGAAUGUGCUGGAACUGGUCCUUGCAGCAUCCUCCUGCCACCUUGGGUCUAUUUGCAUAGUGAAGGUGGCCUGAGAUGGCACUGGGCUCUUGAGAGACUUCAGGAACAAGUUGAGGUUUCUGCCUGUCAUCUGAGUUUAGGUACCACGUAUGAGAAAACCUCACACUGUUUCUAACAUGAAAUGUUAAAAAUUGUUACAUCUUUUUCAAAAGGGAGACCCCUUUGUGAUUAUUAAGAAGAAUCAGCCAGGUGCAGUGGCUCACACCUGUAAUCCUAGCACUUUGG